AAAAAUAAAUAAAAAAUAAAAAAAUGGAAACGAAAAGGAAAAAGAGGCAGCA
rnacentral:ribozyme from 18 species